rnacentral:rRNA from 1 species
AACGAACGCUGGCGGCAUGCCUAACACAUGCAAGUCGAACGAUGCCUUCGGGCAUAGUGGCGCACGGGUGCGUAACGCGUGGGAAUCUGCCCUUCGGUUCGGAAUAACUCAGGGAAACUUGAGCUAAUACCGGAUGAUGACGUAAGUCCAAAGAUUUAUCGCCGAAGGAUGAGCCCGCGUAGGAUUAGGUAGUUGGUGGGGUAAUGGCCCACCAAGCCGACGAUCCUUAGCUGGUCUGGGAGGAUGAUCAGCCACACUGGGACUGAGACACGGCCCAGACUCCUACGGGAGGCAGCAGUGGGGAAUAUUGGACAAUGGGCGAAAGCCUGAUCCAGCAAUGCCGCGUGAGUGAUGAAGGCCUUAGGGUUGUAAAGCUCUUUUACCAGGGAUGAUAAUGACAGUACCUGGAGAAUAAGCUCCGGCUAACUCCGUGCCAGCAGCCGCAGUAAAAC